GCUGGGUCUCACUUGGUUUAAAGGGCUAAGUUAUCAUACUCUUCCCCCCGUAAAAAAAUUUUGUCCUCAAAAUUCACAAAUUGAAUCCUUCAAAAUCUAAGGGGAUACUCAAUCCAUUUCAUGACCUCGAGUUCUAAGUCAAUGAUAACCAAUCCUUUAUUACCCAAGAUAGCAAAUCUACCAUCAUUCUCCAUCACUAACUCUGGAUUUCAAGACUUACGGUCCAUUGAGACUAUACCACUAAUUGGAGUAUAGAUAUGGUCAUGGU
rnacentral:lncRNA from 1 species